AGUACUUAACAGUAUUUUUGACUUGACAUCGGAAGAGCUGCAGUGAGCACGCAUGGAUUUUUCAUCCAUCUUCAUACUUAUAAUAGUGAUAAAAGCACCAACUGCGACAUCGUGAGGGAAGUUGGAUUCCUCACACGGAUAAUUCCCGAUUACAGGUUUCAGGUGAAACACCAGGAAGCUGUAUUCAGCACUGGAUGAUCAGCCUUGAGGGUCAUAUUAUUUCUGAGGGCAUCCAGUCGGCUUUUGUGUCUGGGCUUGCUGCUGUUUUUUCUACUUUUUACAACUUCAAUCUUCAAUACCAAGCUGAGGCAGCAUGCACACUGGAAUUUAUUCAAAGGCAGUUCAUCGGGAUAAACCCAGAAAAAGGCACCAAGGUUGGAGGAGUCAUUUCAAAACGGACGGGGAAGCUCGCCCAGAAAAACAAAACAGUGAACCCUCGUGUCUCCAGUCUGCUUAAAAAAUUGAUGGAUUUUGAGUGGGACUUUAUACAAGUAUUACACCCACACACCCACGCACCCACACACCCACACACACACACACACACACACACACACACACGCAUAUACAUGCACACACACACACACACACACACACUCAAAAUCACGUGAAUAAAGUAAUUCACUGUUUGUGUCCAGAGGAAAAAAAAAGAAAAUGACAGUAUACUUAGUCAUUUGUUAAGGACUUGUUCAAGUUACAGGAUAGUUCAGAUUCUGAUUUUGGAAACAUCUUGUUUAUUUAUGUUUGUUGUAACUUCUAAACCUUGAAUUUUAGUUAUUUUUUUUAUUAUUUAGUUAUGUCCUUUAUGCUUUUUUUCCAAAAAGAGUUUCAGAAGUUUAAUAAACGAGACAUGUUUUGAAACAAUACUUAAAGCUGCUUUUCUUCUGUGACAUUUUUAAUUUACUAUUUCACUUUUAAAUUUAUUCACUUUUGGUAUUUUAUAGCAAGACUGCAACAGGGAAAUGUAUUAAAUCACAAGGUUCAGAAAAUAAUCUUUAAAAACACAGGGGGAAAAGUUGUCCUUUUUGGUAACUGUCCAUUAUUCAAUACAUUACACAAUACCAUAUUGUAUAUUUGUGUAGUUUACACUAAUUUCAAUAUGAAGAACAAAUAAGUGCCCAUGCUUUUUUCAGGAUAUUGCUGUAACAUGUAGAAACUGCUUUAUGCAUUUGCAAAAGCAGUAACAACUGUAAAUUUAACCAAAAGUAAGACACCGUUAAUUUAACAGUAUCUUGCUGGCAACCGUGCUGCCAGUUAAUUACUGUUUUUUAAUAAACGGUAGUGAACUGUAAAUUUCACUAACAGUAAAAAACUGUUAAUUUAACAGUAACUUGCUGGCAACCGUGCUGCCAGUUCUUUACUGUUUUUUAACGGGAAAAUUUUUAACA